UUGCCCUGUUUUGCCAUCAUUAAGUUGGGAACUAUCAGGGGACCGCCAGCGAUAAGUUGGAGGAAGGUGGGGAUGACGUCAAGUCAUCAUGGCCUUUAUGUCCAGGGCUACACACGUGCUACAAUGGACGGUACAAAGCGCUGCGAAGCCGCGAGGUGGAGCUAAUCGCAAAAAACCGUUCUCAGUUCGGAUCGCAGGCUGCAACUCGCCUGCGUGAAGCUGGAAUCGCUAGUAAUGGCAGAUCAGCAUGCUGCCGUGAAUACGUUCCCGGGCCUUGUACACACCGCCCGUCACAUCACGAAAGUGGAUUGUACUAGAAGUCUGUGCGCUAACCGCAAGGAGGCCACGGCCCAAGGUAUGAUUCAUGAUUGGGGUGA
rnacentral:rRNA from 1 species